rnacentral:lncRNA from 1 species
UUCUUGCUCCGAGUCAUCAUUUAUCAAACUUCUUUUGUCUUCCGUCUUGCUCGAUGUCGGCAUUGUUUGAAGGUUUUCGAUCAUCACUGUGCUGAUUCGCCCUUAGGGAUUAAAGAUUUUCGACAAAGAUUUUCUUCCUUGUUGAGACGAGGUCCCUCGUGCCUUUGACGUAGUUCAUUUUCACUUAUUACUGGCAUAGUUCAUCGCUUUCUCUUUUCAUCUCUCCUUUUCUUCUGUGUUUGGGUGAGGGUCUUCCCUUUGCUCUUGACAGGGUCAC